rnacentral:tRNA from 1 species
UCUAUUUUUUUUUUUUUUUAAAAGACGCUUGUUCAAACAUAGAAAUGCUUUUCCAACUUUCCAUAUUGGGGGAAAUGACUCCUACACACCUCCUUCAUGUUUUUCGUUGUUUUUAUAUCGAAAUUAUUUUCGAUACAAAGAAAUGUCUCACAUCGAAGUUUCCAUAUAUCAUAGAUAACCGUAAAAAACAAAAGCGUCGACAGCAGGGUUCGAGAACCUGCGCGGGCGAAGCCCAACAGAUUUCAAGUCUGUCUCCUUAACCACUCGGACAUAUCGACCCAUUUGGCUUUUAUAUUUUUCCAAAAUUUAUCUAAAAGGGGCUAUGGGAUUGCUGAAGGCCUCUUCCAACGGCGUAUCGGGCUGUCGGCCCAUUCACCGAACUAAUGACGCAACGGCACAAAAACUCGCCAAUCGCCAUUACUCCACUCCACGGCUUCAUCUUCUUUUCUUCUUUCCUGUUGCCUAAACUCUCUUGAUAAUGUUCUGCAUUGAUGUUUGGCUCAACCAGUUUUCUAUUUCUUGAUUAUGGGGGUGGGAGGCAAAUUCUGGGAUUUACUAAAACCGUACGCCCGGCCCCAAGGACCCGAUUUCUUGAGAGAUAAACGGGUCGCCGUUGAUCUUUCCUAUUGGGUCGUCCAGCACGAGACAGCAAUUAAGUCCUAUGUCCGGAAACCUCAUCUUCGCCUCACCUUCUUCCGUACCAUCAACCUCUUCUCCAAGUACGGUGCGUUUCCAGUUUUUGUUGUUGAUGGUACCCCGUCGCCUCUGAAGUCGCGGGCGAGGAUUGGGCGGUUCUUUCGCUCCUCCGGCAUUGAUGUCACGGCUCUGACGGUGGCUGAAGAAGGUGUUUCGGUCGAGAGAAACCGGGCGUUUACAAAAUAUGUUGAAGAGUGCGUGGAGUUGCUUGAACUGUUUGGAAUGCCUGUUCUGAAAGCAAAUGGCGAAGCUGAAGCUUUGUGUGCCCAGCUAAAUUGUGAAGGUCAUGUAGAUGCUUGUAUCACAGCUGAUGGUGAUGCGUUCCUCUAUGGGGCUAAAUGUGUGAUUAAAUGCUUCAGGCCUAACACAAAAGAACCAUUUGAAUGCUACCAAUUGUCAGAUAUUGAAGCUGGUCUUGGAUUGAAGAGAAAACACUUGAUCGCCAUUUCUCUUUUGGUUGGAAACGACCAUGAUCUAAAUGGGGUGCAGGGGAUUGGGGUUGAUACAGCUCUUCGUUUUGUUCAAACUUUCAGUGAGGAUGAGAUAUUGAAUGGGUUUGCUUCUGUAUCCAUUCUUAAUUUUCCUUUUUCUUUUGCAUAGUGGAAAGUAUUGAACUAUAUCAUUACCUAAUAAGUUUAAUCACUGUUUUACACAGAUUAUGUGAAAUUGGCAAAGGUAAUACUCACAUACUGCAGGGUGCUUCAAAGCUUGUCAAAAAUGUUAUGCUCAAUCCAUAUGAAGACUCAGCAAAUUCAAAGGCUUCUCAUUGUUCCCUUUGUGGGCAUCCUGGGAGCAAAAGAGCACAUUUUAGGUCCUCUUGUGAGGUCUGUGCCACCAGCGAUGGUGAGGGUUGCAAAAAAAAGCCAGAAGGUUUUAAAUGUAAUUGCAUCUGCUGUGAUAAGGUGUAUUUUAUAUUUCUCUUUUUAAUUAUUGCACAGCUCUUACAUUAACCUGUAGGUUUUUAGCACCGUCGGCAGUUUUAACUUUUUUACAUUGUGCAAAAUGAUUAAUCUUACAAUUGUUUAAAGCAUUGCAUGAUGCUUGCAUUGCAGGAUCGUAAAGAAAAGGAGCAGCAAAAGCAUGAAAAUUGGCAGAUAAAAGUUUGUAACAAGAUUGCAAUGGAGCCAAAUUUUCCAAAUGAUGUUAUCAUUGAAAUGUAUUUGUGUUGUAAUCAUGGAAAAUUUACAGGUAUUUGUACUCUUGAGUUUUCUUUUUCAGUUUUCUUAGUAAGCCAUUAACUGUAGACUGCAUUACACAGUUGGCAGAUUUUCCAAUCUUGUGGAUUGGAUGCAAUAUAAAGUCCUCAUGAGGUUUCUUAGCUUUGAUGCCAUAAUCUGUCACAAGGAGUUCCUUUCCUUAAACCUAGCCUUUUUUCCAUUUUCUUAAAUCCUAUAUUGAGUUGUGAGUUUAUUUCUAUGUACAGAAGAUGAUGGCCCACGUUUAUCAUGGGAAAGCCCAAAUACAGAUAUGCUGGUUGAUUUCUUGGUAUUUCAUCAGCUUUGGGAACCAUCUUACAUUAGGCUGAGGAUGCUUCCUAUGUUGUCCACCAUAUACUUGAGAGAAAAGGCUGCUGUAAAGCUAGAGAAAACAAUGUUAUAUGGACAAUAUGAAUUUGAUUCUAUUCAGCGUGUCAAAAUAAGAUAUGGGCACCAAUCUUAUGUGAUCAAGUGGAAGAAAGCUGCACACAUGGUUAGCAGUGAUGUCCAUACAAACACUGCAGAAGAAUUGGAAAAGCAACAAGAAGAGAUUGUAGAAAAUGAUGAGACCAUGUCCAUCGAACAAUUAGAAGAGUACAAUGUCCCUCACAGUUAUGUGGAUGAUGGAUGUUGGUUUAUUUUUACUGAUGAAAAUAUGGAUCUUGUUCGAAAUGCUUUUCCAGAUGCAGUUGACAGAUUUUUACAGGAGAAAGAACUGAAUGAAUCAAAAAGAAGGUGUUCAAGCUUAACAUCUGAAGGGCGCAAUGGAAAGUCAGAAUCAGUGAAGUCAAGGGCUGUUCAACUGAAUAUAACUGAAUUUUACCGUUCCACCAAAGUACAAGUUCAUGCCACUGGAGAAGAUGAUGUAGCUAAUAAUUCUGGAAAUCAAGACAGUGUAGGAUCAAAAUUAAAGAGGAAGGUCUCGAGUUCUAACUAUCCAAAGUCUGUGAGACGCCGCCUUUUGUUCAAGUAGGACAUUUGGGGAAGAGUAAUAGUUAUUUUUUGUGUAUAAGCUUAAGAGUAACUUGUAAGUAAAUAUUAAUGAACUUUAGAGGCUUUUGGUGAUCUAUAGAAGACCCAUUUUCUUUUUGUACAAAUUUAGCCUUUUGUUUUUGUAAUGUAUUGGUUUAGGGAUUUUUUGAUCAUGCAGUUUACAACCUUAAGGGGUGAAAAUCAAAAAUUAUUAUGGUUUACAAUUCCUUGUUAUGAAAUGUAUAUAUAAUGUUUGGAAGUUCCAUUCCUU